rnacentral:rRNA from 1 species
GGCCUUUUGAUUAUAAUUUAAGGUCGGGCCUGCCCAAUGAGAGAUUUAAUGGCCGCGGUAUAUUAACUGUGCAAAGGUAGCAUAAUCAUUAGUUUUUUAAUUGAAAGCUGGAAUGAAGGGUUUAAUGAAAAAAGUUCUGUUUCUGUUUGAAUUUAUUAGAAUUUUAUUUUUAAGUUAAAAAGCUUAAAUAAUUAUUGAAGACGAGAAGACCCUAUAGAGUUUUAUAUUUUUGAAAAUUUUUGUAUUUGGUAAUUUCAAUUUGAUUUUUAGAAGUAUUUAGUUGGGGUGAUUGGAAAAUUGAAAUAACUUUUUUUUCAUUAAACAUUGAUAUAUGAGUAAAUGAUCCUUUUUUUAGAUUAUAAGAAAAAAUUACCUUAGGGAUAACAGCGUAAUUUUUUUUUAGAGUUCUUAUCAAAAGAAAAGAUUGCGACCUCGAUGUUGGAUUAAAAUAAGUUUUUGGUGCAGAAGCUAAAAAACCUAGGUCUGUUCGACCUUUAAAUUUUUACAUGAUCUGAGUUUAGACCGGUUUAAG